AGCUGCAAUGCUAAAGUUACUACCGAAAAGCCUGCGCGCUUAAAAGAAAUCCGGGGCAGAGAGAAGUCCCUCCAGUCGGAGACGCGGGGAGAGGGAGGGAAGGAGCUGCUAAAGGUCAGCCUGACUUCCAAGGCACUUUGCGGGCAAGAAGCGACACAGGUGUCUGCAAUCAGCGCUCAAAUUGCCCCCUUCUCUACAAUCAAGACAGCCCGCAGCAAAGAAACUCAGACACAUGGAAAACAGCGAGAAAGCGAGGCACUGAGGCAGCAGGGAUGCUUUUUAAGUAAUAAUUUUAAUCGCAAGUAGUUGGCUAUUUCAUCGAGAUUGCAGUAAAGUCAUAUUGUGAAAGCUGCAAUAGGAAGCGCCCUGUCAGAUUAAGAUGACUGCAGAUCGGAGCAGCAUGGAGACAAGCCGGAGAGGUCACUUUACAUUAACGGAGCCGUGCCUAUAGCAAUGCGCCGGUCCACGCUAAUCGCCGUGGCAAUUCAGCCAAACUUACUUUCCGAGAACUGAACUGCUGCUGACACCCGGAGCUGCCCUGGGCGUUUCACCACCUGCCUCACCUGCCCGUGUCGCAAACCGGCAGCCAGCCAGCCAUCUGGAGGGAGCCUUUCAUUCCCUGCCAGAGAAACAAAGUGCACAAAAAUCAUGGCGACAUCUUUAUUUCAUUAAUGUGACAGCGCAAACACAAAUUACUCCCGUGCUUAUAAUGGGGGCCCCUUCGGAGAGGAAG